AAUGAAUGAUGACAAAAUGUUUCAGUCCCAAAUGAUAAACACUGAUUUUACCCUUACAUUUAUUUCUGACAUU
rnacentral:snoRNA from 1 species